rnacentral:rRNA from 1 species
GAUGAACGCUAGCGGGAGGCCUAACACAUGCAAGCCGAGCGGUAUUUCUUCUUCGGAAGAGAGAGAGCGGCGUACGGGUGCGGAACACGUGUGCAACCUGCCUUUAUCUAGAGGAUAGCCUUUCGAAAGGAAGAUUAAUACUCUAUAAUAUAUUAAUUGGCAUCAAUUGAUAUUGAAAACUCCGGUGGAUAGAGAUGGGCACGCGCAAGAUUAGCUAGUUGGUGAGGUAACGGCUCACCAAGGCAAUGAUCUUUAGGGGGCCUGAGAGGGUGAUCCCCCACAAUGGUACUGAGACACGGACCAGACUCCUACGGGAGGCAGCAGUGAGGAAUAUUGGGCAAUGGGUGCAAGCCUGAACCAGCCAUCCCGCGUGAAGGAUUAAGGUCCUAUGGAUUGUAAACUUCUUUUGUAUAGGGAUAAACCUACCCUCGUGAGGGUAGCUGAAGGUACUAUACGAAUAAGCACCGGCUAACUCCGUGCCAGCAGCCGCCGUAACAC